CCUCCCUGGUUGCCACCACCGCUGCUGCUGUCAUCGCCCUCCCCACUGCCCCACUACACACUGCCAGAUAGGUCUGUAUGCUUCACCCUCGCUCCCUGCUUAUUGCACUCAGGAUGUGUUGGUGCCAUGCUUUGCCUAUUUGUAAUCUCCUUCUAUUCUGUUGUACAAUUCUUUUUGCUUAUGAUUUCUUACUGUAGUGUGAAAUUUAAUUGCUUGGGUCGUCACUGCUACGAAAGUAUAGUUCUAUAUUUUAGGUUCUGUUACUUUAGUCUCUCUUUCUCUCUGUUUAUAAUGAUAUGAACUUCUAUGUUGCUGCAAGAUUGAAAAGAUUCUUUUCGAAAACAGCCUAUGUCAUGAGGGCUGAGUUACGUGUGGCUAUGAUAUCUUUUAAUUUUGGUGAUCUGUGUUUUACAAAAGUUCCAAUAUAAAUUUAUUUUUCAUCCUUAUCAGAAUAAGGAUGCACCUUAAAUUUUAUGCAAUUUUCAAGACGAUCAUUUGGAAUUUUAUGCAGUUUCUUUUGAUGAAAAUAUUUAGUUUGUUGUAUAAUAAGGAUGCUUUUAGUUAAUAACCCUUCAAUACAUUGGAGUUUAUAAAAGGUUUCCUCAUAAGAACUUGACAGCUCCAUGGCAGUGCCUCAACUGCGUGUGAUAACUGGUAAAUAAGCUAUUCUCCAAAAUAAGAUUGUUGCUUAAUCCGCUUACCACCUUAUUUCAGAUCAUCUUGCUGUGGUCGCGUGAACGGAUGGUGUUCGUGAUCUAUAUCAUGGAAAAUAUUUCCUGGAAUGCCUCUAGGUACAUCCAUCUCUGCUCCCUCCCUACCCUCUCCAUUCUAUCCCCAUAUAUAUACAAAGGUUCCAAGUGUAGUAAUCUGGCGUGACACGUACAUAAUCAAAUGAUGGGUUUAGGUUUAAUGCUCUAUUUUCUACUCACAACCAGUAGAUGAGAAACCAUGUAGAAGAUGUGGCAUUGAUGAAGUAGAUUUAAAGAUCAAGUUCUUUCUGGAAUUUUAAUUUGAGGAUUAACGCAGUUGAGUUGGUUAAUUAUCGUACUUGCAUCUUGCCUCCAUGCACGUAAUUUUAAUGGGGUUAGUAUGCUUUGUACAGACCCAAGAACAAUUCCUUAUAACGCUCACCAUUUGUGCACUUCUUUUGGUCUUGGACAAAGGGUAUGUGGAAGACUGGAUUUUGAUAUUAUCCUGGAAUGGCAACUAUUGGUGUGCAACCGAAGAAUAUAUUUCAUGACCGAGAGAUGGUAUUUGGAGAAUCUUAGUUUUGAUAUGUACAUGAAUCUUCUUUUAUUUUGUCGUGCAACUGAAGAUAUGGGACUAUUUGCUCUGUGUAUCUCUUAUAAAUAAGGAAAUGGACUAUAGGUAAAAAAAUUCUAUUUUAAUUAUAUUAUGUUGUAGAUGAUGCAUGGUUCCUGAAUCUUUUUG
rnacentral:lncRNA from 1 species